rnacentral:rRNA from 1 species
AUGCGAGGUAUUGAUUUUGGACUCGAAAAAAAGGCGAGGUAUUGGCCUUACGAUCCGAACCCCCCAAAAUUCCCCGCAAACCCUCCUUUCCCCGUCCGCGACACGAGACGCGAGGGAGCGACCAUUCUCUCUUCUCCGACGGCGACGGUGCCUGCCUCCUCCUCACUCCGCCCACCGCCCCCGCCCCAGCAGCCGCGCCGUCCGCCGCUGGUUCUUCCUCGCCGCCUGGACCUGUUCGUCGAAGCCGUACCAGCCGAGCCGGUCACUCCUCCUCCGACCCCGACGCCGGCUCAUCCCCUGCCGCCGCCGUCGACGCCGCCUCAUCCCCUGCCGCCGCCGUAG